UACGUAGGGACCAAGCGUUGUUCGGAUUUACUGGGCGUAAAGGGCGCGUAGGCGGCAAUUUAAGUCAGCUGUGAAAUCUCCGGGCUUAACUCGGAACGGUCAGCUGAUACUGCUUUGCUAGAGUGCGGAAGGGGCAAUCGGAAUUCUCGGUGUAGCGGUGAAAUGCGUAGAUAUCGAGAGGAACACCUGAGGUGAAGACGGGUUGCUGGGCCAACACUGACGCUGAGGCGCGAAAGCCAGGGUAGCAAACGGG
rnacentral:rRNA from 1 species